rnacentral:rRNA from 1 species
GACGAACCGUGCGAGCGUUGUUCGGAAUCACUGGGUUUAAAGGGCGCGUAGGCGGGCUGUCAAGUCGGUGGUGAAAUCCUCCGGCUCAACCGGAGCAGUGCCUCGAAUACUGGCGGUCUCGAGGGAGGUAGGGGCGUGCGGAACUGUGGGUGGAGCGGUGAAAUGCGUUGAUAUCCACAGGAACUCCGGUGGCGAAGGCGGCACGCUGGACCUUUUCUGACGCUGAGGCGCGAAAGCCAGGGGAGCGAACGGG